GAGUUCCGGUCCGGCAGAGAGCGCAGAGAGACGAAGAAUGCGGCCUGCUACUCCAGGGGCCUCCAGGCCCUCCGGCCCCUGGCCGGCGGGUGAACUGGGGGGCCCCGGGACAGUCUGAGCCCUCUGCCCUGCAGAUACCGGAUGGAGGCCUCUGCUGUGGCUGCCCACUGGCUGUGCCCAGGCCUUGAAGCCACAGCGAACCUCUCUUCCCACCCUCCCACCUCGGUGACUGAUGGCGGGGGCGGCCUCUCCCAGCCCGAACCCCGCCGGCCGCCGGGUGUCCCGGCCCAAGCCUGCCGGGCCUCCACUAAACCUCUGCAGAGCUGUCGGGACGCAGCGCCUUUGGGCGGCUGCAGGAGUGGAGGGCUGGCAAGCAUGGCGGCCGCUCGAACGCCGCGCGGCGGAGGCUGUUAGGGCGUGGAGGGCCCGGGAAAGCGGCCCAGGGACGCAGGCAGGCUCGGCCGCCUCUUUAGGCCACGGAGCCGCGCAGAUCCGGGUCCCAGGUGACCACUCUGUCGCCAUUGGGCGAGACCUACCUAGUCCUGAAGACAACGGACAAAGGGCUUAACCGGCCUGGUAGGUGAGCGAAGUCCCAGACGGCGACGGGUGGAACUGUUAGCGGCCAUCGGGCGGUUGGUCUUCGUUCUACCAGACCUUGCUGUCGAAAGAGAGAAAUGAUAGAAUGACAGGCCACGUUUGGCCCGUUGGAAAUGCCCACCACCCUCUGGGAAUAUUUACUGGCCGUUUAUGGAAGGCCUGUGUAUAUAAUAUGAAAAAACUGCUCUCAACUCCACCCCAACCUUUUAAUAGAAAACAUUUGUCACAUCUAGCCCUUCUAGAUGGAAAGAGGUUGCCGACGUAUGAUAAAGUAGAGUUAGAAAGUCACACGUCUUGUAAAUUCUCAUUUGUUUAAAAUAAAUAAUAGCAAAUACAUGUCUUCUGGAGAUGACUUUUGGAAAUGGAGUUGUUAGACGGGCUCUGGAAGCUAUACGUCCACGUUUGUUCGGUGGGUUAGAUGACAAGGAGCUGGAAGACCUGAGAAGGAAGAGAAGAAGGUUCUUUCCUAGACUGGUCACAUUUAGAAGACAUUUUCGUAUUCUAUCCAUUGUUUUGUGUGCAUUUUAUUCCUCACUACUGUGUACAUAGUUGACAAUGCUAAGCUUUUUUGAAAUAUCUGUUCUUUUUAGAUGUUCUGAAGUACUGAUAUAUGUUAAAAUUAGAGGUAGCAAAAUCACAUUUUGUAAAUAUCUUUUUGUUACAAUUCAUAGGAAAUUUUUUUGAGGGGAAUGGCCAAAUCACCUGUGGAGUAAUACUCAUUGUGUUUGUGCAGUGGUUCAGGGUAGGAGAGAGGAGGGGGAGGUGCAGAGAGCUCUAUGCCAUCCUUUUUACAAGAUGAAUCAUUAUCUCUGUGCAUUUUGUUUUACUUAUCUGUGUAUAUAGUGUACAUAAAGGACAAACGAGUCCUAAUUAACAACAUCUAGUCUUUCUGGAUGUUAAAGAGGUUGCCAGUGUAUGACAAAAGUAGAGUAAUGUAUUUUGUACAUUUUGUUUUACAAGUCCUAGGAAAACUAAUAUAUUUUGUACAUUUUGUUUUACAAGUCCUAGGAAAGAUUGUCUUCUGAAAAUUUGAGCAUUCUUACCCACUGGGUUGAUGGAGAUGGGAAGGGUUCUAGGCCAGAAUGUUCACAUUUGGAAGACUCUUUCAAAUUAUAACUGUUGUUACAUGUUUGCAGUUUAUUCAAGACUGCUGUGUACAUAGUGGACAAAUUAACUCCUUACUUGAAACAUCUAGUCUAUCUAGAUGUUUAGAAGUGCCUGAUGUAUGUUAAAUGUAGAGGUAGUAAAAUACCACUUUGUAAAUAUCUUUUUGCUAAAAUUCAUAGGAAAUACUUUUGGAAAUUGAAUUUUGAAGCCACCUUUGUGAGCAGUAUAGUAAUGUCUGUACUUGUUCAGUGGUUUAGAGGAGGUGGGAGGAAAGAAAUUGCAAAAGGUAAUAUACUAGUGUGUUCAUACUUGAACAUUUCCAGACACCAUUUUUCUGUAUGUUUUGUGCAUUUUGUUUUGCUCUGUAUAUAGUGUAUAUAAUGGACAAAUAGUCCUAAUUUUUCAACAUCUAGUUUCUAGAUAUUAAAGAGGUUGCCAGUGUAUGACAAAGUAGUAAAAUUAGCAUAUUUUGUAUGCUUUGUGUUGAAAUUCAUAGGAAAACUUGUCUUCUGUAAAUGACUUUUGCAUAGGAAUUUAUUCAACCAUCUCUAAGCAUUACACGUGCCUGUACUUGUCCACUGGAUUGAAGGCAGAGAAGGAAGAGGGGAGGGAAUGAUUCAAGGCCAAAGUGGUCACAUUUAGAAGAUACCUCAGAUGAUAACCAUUGUUAUGUGUGUGUAAUUUUAACAGUGCUGUGUACGUGGUGGACAAGUAUGAAAUAUCUAGUCUUUCUAUAUAUUUGGAAGUGCUUGAUGUAUUUAAAAGUAGUAGAAUAACACUUUUUGUAAAUAGCUUUUAAAAACUGAUGGGAAAUGCUGUUCGGAAGUGGAAUUGUUGAACCACCUGGGAGGUGGGAGGGAAGAAGUUGCAAAAGGUGUUUUGCCAUUGUUUAUUAGAAAAUUUCCGCUUAAUCCAUUGCCUAUAUGUUACAUGCAUUUCAUUUAACUUUGCUACACUCUAUAUAUUGUGUAUAUACUGGACAAAUGAGUCCCGAUUUUAUAAUAUCUAGUCUCUAGAUAUUAAAGAGGUUGCCAAUGUAUGACAGAAGUAGGGUUAGUAAACUAACACAUUUUGUACACUUUGUUAAAAUUCAUAGAAAGGCUGUCUUCUGAAAAGGACUUUCGGAAGUGAAAUGAUAACAUCAGCUCUAAGUGACACAUGCCUAUAUCCACCAGGUUGGUGGUGGAGAGGAGUUGGAAGGAAUGAAGCGUUCUAUACCAGAAUGUUCCUAUUUAGAAGACACUUUCAGAUAUAACUAUUGUUACGUGUGUAGUUUAUUCAACACUACUGUGUAUACAGCGGACAAACUUAAGUCCUUAUUUGAAACAACUGGUCUUUCUAGAUGUUUAGAAGUGCGCAAAGUAUGUUAAAAGUAGAGAUAGUAAAUAACACAUUUUGUAGCUAUCCUUUUGAUAUGAAAUAUUGUCUUGGAAAUUGAUCAAUUCUCUGAGCAGUACAGAUUAUGAUAUUUGUGCUGGUUCAGGGGGAAGGAGGAGCACAAAGUGCAAAGGGCUUUCUACCAGUGUCCACUGUGUUUAUGAUGAGGCACAUUGACCAUUGUCCCUUAUGUCUGCAUUUUCAUUUACUGUGCUGUGUAUAUAGUGUAUAUAAGCGGACAUAGGAGUCCUAAUUUACAUCUAGUCAAUGUUAAAGAGGUUGCCAGUGUAUGACAAAAGUAGAAUUAGUAAACUAAUGCAUUGAGUACACUUUGUGUUAAAAUUCAUAGGGAAGACUUCUUAAAAACAGAAGUGAAAUUGUUAAAAUCCACCCUAAGCAUUACAGAUGGCUUAUAGCUGUCCACGGGGUUGGUAGAGGUGGGAAAAGGAAGGGUUCUAGGCCAGAAUGUUCCUAUUUAGAAGACACUCAAAUUACUGUCUGUGUUAUGUAUGUAUACCAUUUAUUCAAUGCUACUGUGUAUAUAAUGGAAAACUUAAGUCCAGUUUGAAACAUCUAGUCUUUCUAGGUGUUUAAAAGUGCACAACAGCCUGGUGCAGUGGCUCACGCCAGUAAUCCCAACACUUUGGGAGGCCAAGGCGGGCAGAUCACAAGGUCAAGAGAUGGAGACCAUCCUGGCCAACAUGGUGAAACCCCGUCUCUACUAAAAAUACAAAAAUUAGCUGGUCGUGGUGGCGCCCACCUGUAGUCCCAGCUACUUGGGAGGCUGAGGCAGGAGAAUCGCUUGAACUCGGGAGGUGGAGGUUGCAGUGAGCCGAGAUCGCACCACUGCACUCCAGCCUGGCGACAGAAUGAGACUCUGUUUCAACAACAACAACAAAAAGGUGUACAACAUAGCUUAAAAGUAGAGGGCUAAAGUAACACCCCUCUAAGCAUUUGUUUUCAGUACUUCCUAGCAGUGGUUGCGUAAGUGAAUGCAGACUAUUCA
rnacentral:lncRNA from 1 species